GAUGAAGAACGUAGCGAAAUGCGAUACGUAGUGUGAAUUGCAGAAUUCAGUGAAUCAUCGAAUCUUUGACCGCACAUUGCACCUCUCGGUAUUCCGGGAGGUAUGCCUGUUCGAGCGUCAUUUGUACCCUCAAGCUCUGCUUGGUGUUGGGUGUUUGUUCCGCCUCUGUGUGUGAACUCGCCUCAAAACAAUUGGCAGCCGGCGUACUUGUUUCGGAGCGCAGCACAUUUUGCGAUCCAGAUCAACGUACAGCGGCAUCCAAGAAGCCUUAUUUAACGCUCUUGACCUCGGAUCAGGUAGGGAUACCCGCUGAACUUAAGCAUAUCAAUAAGCGGAGGA
rnacentral:misc_RNA from 1 species